rnacentral:lncRNA from 1 species
CACAAUGGAAGGGGCUAGUAUAUAUACUUAAAAGUAGCAUAGAUUUUGGAGGAAUGGCAGAGAGCAGAGGAAAGCUGAGGAGAAUUUCUAUUUUGCCCAGGGUAUCCUGACAGAAAAUGACCUCCUUAAAGACAGAAGAUGGAUACAAAACACAAUGGCACGUCUUGGGAUCUGUAUGGAAAUUUUGUGGAAAACACAAAACUAUACCGCUUCUCCCUCCGUGUGGCUGUGAUUUCAUGGCAAAGUUCUAGGGCUUGAGAAAUUCCUGGAAAGAGGUCAUUUGAUGACUGUUGAAGAUGGCAGAAACCUCACUUCUACCAAGGAGUUUAAUGUUAUUGUUGAAUAACUGAACUGCUGUAUUCAUCAAAUAUUCUGUCCUUAAAUAUAGUGGUUUCUCAAUAAAUGUAUAAUGAAUUAACGGAUUCAAACCUCACUUAAUUCUUAACUUUCAUCCAUUAACCCUAGUUCUGCUCUUGUAACUACACAAAAUCAUCUCACCCUCUUCCAUAAUGCUAAAGGUAACUAUUUUGGGUUUUCAAGUCUUUACCUUUCCCGUAUAAACACACCAACAAAUAACCUUUCCCAG